rnacentral:rRNA from 1 species
CAAUAGCGUAUAUUUAAGUUGUUGCAGUUAAAAAGCUCGUAGUUGGAUUUCGGAUGGGACUUGCCGGUCCGUCGUUUCGAUGUGCACUGGCCAGUCCUAUCUUGUUGUCGGGGACUAGCUCCUGGGCUUCACUGUCCGGGACUAGGAGCUGACGAGGUUACUUUGAGUAAAUUAGAGUGUUCAAAGCAAGCCUACGCUCUGAAUACAUUAGCAUGGAAUAACACGAUAGGACUCUGGCUUAUCUUGUUGGUCUGUGAGACCAGAGUAAUGAUUAAGAGGGACAGUCGGGGGCAUUCGUAUUUCAUUGUCAGAGGUGAAAUUCUUGGAUUUAUGAAAGACGAACUUCUGCGAAAGCAUUUGUCAAGGAUGUUUUCAUUG